rnacentral:rRNA from 1 species
AGGACGAACGCUGGCGGCGUGCUUAACACAUGCAAGUCGAGCGGUGAUCCUCCUUCGGGAGGUGAUCAGCGGCGAACGGGUGAGUAACACGUGGGCAACCUGCCCCUCACACUGGGAUAACCUCGGGAAACCGGGGCUAAUACCGGAUACGACCUCGAGCGGCAUCUCUUGAGGUGGAAAGCUCCGACGGUGAGGGAUGGGCCCGCGGCCUAUCAGCUUGUUGGUGGGGUAAUGGCCUACCAAGGCGACGACGGGUAGCCGGCCUGAGAGGGCGACCGGCCACACUGGGACUGAGACACGGCCCAGACUCCUACGGGAGGCAGCAGUGGGGAAUAUUGCGCAAUGGGCGAAAGCCUGACGCAGCGACGCCGCGUGAGGGAUGACGGCCUUCGGGUUGUAAACCGUCUUUCAGCAGGGACGAAGCGAAAGUGACGGUACCUGCAGAAGAAGCACCGGCUAACUACGCGCCAGCAGCCGC